rnacentral:rRNA from 1 species
UACAGAGGGUGCAAGCGUUAAUCGGAAUUACUGGGCGUAAAGCGCGCGUAGGUGGUUUGUUAAGUUGAAUGUGAAAGCCCCGGGCUCAACCUGGGAACUGCAUCCAAAACUGGCAAGCUAGAGUAUGGCAGAGGGUGGUGGAAUUUCCUGUGUAGCGGUGAAAUGCGUAGAUAUAGGAAGGAACACCAGUGGCGAAGGCGACCACCUGGGCUAAUACUGACACUGAGGUGCGAAAGCGUGGGGAGCAAACAGG